UACGUAGGUGGCAAGCGUUGUCCGGAAUUAUUGGGCGUAAAGCGCGCGCAGGCGGUCCUUUAAGUCUGAUGUGAAAGCCCACGGCUCAACCGUGGAGGGUCAUUGGAAACUGGGGGACUUGAGUGCAGAAGAGGAGAGUGGAAUUCCGCGUGUAGCGGUGAAAUGCGUAGAGAUGUGGAGGAACACCAGUGGCGAAGGCGACUCUCUGGUCUGUAACUGACGCUGAGGCGCGAAAGCGUGGGGAGCAAACAGG
rnacentral:rRNA from 1 species